CAAUAGCGUAUAUUAAAGUUGUUGCGGUUAAAAAGCUCGUAGUUGGAUUUCUGUUGAGGAUGGGCGGUCCGCACAUCGUGCGUGUAUCUGUUACAGCCUCGGCAUCCUCUUGAAGAACGAACUGUGAUUUAUUUCGUGGUUCGGAAUUCAAGACUUUUACUUUGAGGAAAUUAGAGUGUUCACGGCAAGCAAUCGCUUUGAAUACAUUAGCAUGGAAUAAUAAUAUAGGACCUUGGUACUAUUUUGUUGGUUUCUAGAACUAAGGUAAUGAUUAAUAGGGAUAAUUGGGGGCAUUCGUAUCAACACGUUAGAGGUGAAAUUCUUGGAUCGUGUUGCGACGAACUACUGCGAAAGCAUUUGCCAAGGAUGUUUUCAUUGAUCAAGAACGAAGUAAGGGAUCGAAGACGAUUAGAUACCGU
rnacentral:rRNA from 1 species